GCGACUUCGGCGGCGCCACGAGAGCGGGCAGCGGAGGAGAUUGACGUGAGUGAAUUCAGAUAUAACUCAAGCUUGUUAGAGGGCUUUUUAAAAAUAAAAAGUUGAUUCCGUGCAAGAGAGCAAGUUACUGCUGCUUACCGUUCAGAGACUUACAGGUGCUUGCCUGCAUUGCAAUAAAGGACUCAUUUAUUGAGCAAGACUUAUAUUUAUCUCUUCAUUUUGGAGAGCCUAAUAAACUGUUAUUACAGUUUCUCUACUGACUUUCAAAAGUUUUGAAGUUUGAAAGACCUUUGCAAUUAAAACAGCAUGAGCACGGCCAGAACAGAGAACCCUGUUAUAAUGGGUCUGUCCAGUCAAAAUGGUCAGCUGAGAGGACCUGUGAAACCCACUGGUGGCCCUGGAGGAGGGGGCACACAGACACAGCAACAGAUGAACCAGCUGAAAAACACCAACACAAUCAAUAAUGGCACUCAGCAGCAAGCACAGAGUAUGACCACCACUAUUAAGAGGAGAGCAUUCCCAUUGCUUUAUCUGGUAGGGAUAUCUUAGCUAGAGCAAAAAAUGGAACAGGCAAGAGCGGUGCCUACCUCAUUCCCUUACUUGAACGGCUAGACCUGAAGAAGGACAAUAUACAAGGUUAGUUGAAUAAAAGUUUGUUUUUAAACUAAAAAUGGGAGUUUCAGCCUUGGAGCCAUGUGUAGAAGAUACUCUUUUUUUAGUCAGAAUUUAUAUUAUCUAAAAUUUGUAUUCUUUCUUUUCAGGUUUUUUCUUUUUUUAGCCUGAUGAUGGUCUUUUUAUUAAAAAUGAUUCCCAGCUUUUUAGAGAUUUCUAGUUUUAAGAGUAUUCUUAUAUGAUACACACUUUUGACAGCAUUCCAGUGAGACAGAAAAAAUAAGUAUUAGUGCCCUAUAGGUAGGAAAGCUGAGGCUGGGCACGGUGCCUCACAGCCUGUAAUCCCAGCACUUUGGGAGGUCAAAGUGGGUGGAUCACCUGAGGCCAGAUAUUUAAGACCAGCCUGGCCAACAUUGCGAAACCCUGUCUCUACUAAAAAUGCAAAAAUUAGCUGGGCAUGGUGGCGCACAACUGUAAUCCCAGCUACUCAGAAGUCUGAGGCACGAGAGUCACUGGAACCCAGGAGGUGGAGGUUGCAGUGAGCCAAGAUUGUGCCACUGCACUCCAGCCUGGGUGACAGAGUGAGACUCUUAACUCAAAAAAAAAAAAAAAAAA
rnacentral:sRNA from 1 species